GUGGUGUGAGCGGUGUGACCUUCGCUCUCUCUCCUGGGGGGGCUGCACGUCUGCCCUGAGGUGGCCGUUAGCAGGGCGGAAUAACGGGCUGUGUGUUACGGCGUAGGCAGAUAGGCCUGCAGGUAUCCCAGCUCUGAGGGAGGCACACAGAGCGCCCAGAUGUGCCCGCUGCAUGAGGAGCCCGAAGCAGUGCUGCCAGCCAGGGAGAGAUCAUCAGCAUCACUCAGCAGAUGAAAACAAAAAUGAGCCUUCUGAGCCACGUUCAGAAAAUGCUUAGAAAUGACAAAAGGUAGCUGAUGGUGCAGUGACAGAUCUGCAGAAUAAUCUCCCUUCCUUUCUUAAGGAAAAUUCCCACCGGCUGGGCAACCCUAUGAAAAGGUGUUGGGAAUCAUCUGGAGAAUGUAAGUGGCCAUUUAGAUGAUUCUUAACUAGCAACCUCGGCCUGUUGGAGAUGCAAUUUAUACACGUUGCUCUUGACUGUUCCUUCAGAAGGAAUUGGUUGGUUCACCUCAGUAUCGGCUGAAGGACAUGCUGUCACUGUCUCCAGGGUCCUUCCUUACCACUGAAUCUUUCUGGAAACCGCUGUGAAAGUCAAACAUUUUGGCUGCAGUGAGUGUCAGCCACUUGCUUUCCUGUCAAGUGAGAAAGCUGGAUUCUCACAAAUGCAAAACAGAAGAAAUGUUAUUCUUGUAAGCAGGUGCCUUCCCUUGAUUCAUGGACUUCUGAAGCCAUCAUCCCAAGAGAUUUUGCCAGAAACACUGGCGCCAGAGAUUCAAUGGCUGAUUUAUCUAGUAAGACAUUUAGCAAGCUUCUGCUGUACUUUUAAACCUGGAGAUGCUGAAGGUGUUUUUCUCUGAGUUAAUAAUUAUUAACUGUAGAUAGCAAGCUGGAAAAAGACUGAACUAUUUUAGAAAUGCAUGCAAUAAAUAAUAGUGGCUGUGCUUCAGAUGGCUGUCACAAGGCUCAAGGACAAAUUCUAAACAGCAUGACUGGCAUUUUAAUGGCUAAAAAUAUGUCUUUGGUCCACAUUGUGAAAAAUCGAUUAGAAAACUCUUACAGACCAAAAGUUUUGUGCAAAAUAGUGAAUAAAACUGCUGCCCUUCCUGCCUUACU